rnacentral:lncRNA from 1 species
GCCUCGAUGAAUCUCUAUCGUCUAGUUUCCUCAUUAUAAUUCGAAUCCUCCAUGGAGGAAUAAUUCUGGUCCAACACAAUACCAAAUUUUAGGCAUGACGAGAUCCUUUUGUUAACGAAGGAAUAAGAGUCUUAUUACAACUAGAUUCUUGCAAAUUAUUUUCUAGAAAUAACUUCAUUCUUCCUCUCUUGGUAUCAAAAAGGGGAUAUGUGGUACUGGUACAAAGAUUGAAAAUCUAUUCCCUUUUUCUUCUAAAAACCAUCUUGGAGAUUGUGUAAUGCUUACUCUCAAACUGU